AGAGUUUGAUCCUGGCUCAGAAUGAACGCUGGCGGCGUGCCUAACACAUGCAAGUCGUACGAGAAAGGGGCUUCGGCCCUGAGUAGAGUGGCGCACGGGUGAGUAACGCGUGGGUAAUCUACCCUUGGAUUUGGGAUAACUCUGCGAAAGUGGAGCUAAUACCGGAUAGUCUGGCUUUUAAUAGAAGUCGGUAAAGGAUGCCUCUGCAUAUGCAUUCGUCCGAGGAUGAGCCCGCGUCUCAUUAGCUAGUUGGUAGGGUAAUGGCCUACCAAGGCAACGAUGAGUAGCUGGUCUGAGAGGAUGAUCAGCCACACUGGAACUGAAACACGGUCCAGACUCCUACGGGAGGCAGCAGUGGGGAAUAUUGCGCAAUGGGCGAAAGCCUGAACCAGCCAUCCCGCGUGCAGGAAGACGGCCCUAUGGGUUGUAAACUGCUUUUCCAGGGGGAGAAACUUGCGCACGUGUUGCGCAAUUGACGGUACCCUGGGAAUAAGCAUCGGCUAACUCCGUGCCAGCAGCCGCGGUAAUA
rnacentral:rRNA from 1 species